rnacentral:tRNA from 1 species
GCCCAGGUGGCGGAAUUGGUAGACGCGCUAGAUUCAGGUUCUAGUGAGCAUUACGCUUGUGGAGGUUCAAGUCCUCUCUUGGGCA